rnacentral:rRNA from 1 species
GCUUACAGCCAUACCACCCUGAGCAUGUCUGAUCCCGGAAGCUAAGCGGGUCGAGCCUGGUUAGUAUUUGGAUGUCAGACCUCUUGGUAAUGCCAGGUGCUGUAUGCU